rnacentral:rRNA from 1 species
UUAACACCAUAGCAAGUCGAGCGGAGGCACAUCGAUUGGAAGUCCUUCGGGAGGAAGAGGAUGUGGCUUAGCGGCGGACGGGUGAGUAACGCGUGGACAACCUGCCCUAUGGCAGGGGAUAACAUCCGGAAACGGGUGCUAAUACCGCAUAAGCGCACAGUACCGCAUGGUACAGUGUGAAAAGCUGAGGCGGCAUAGGAUGGGUCCGCGUUGGAUUAGGCAGUUGGCGGGGUAACGGCCCACCAAACCGACGAUCCAUAGCCGGCCUGAGAGGGUGGACGGCCACAUUGGGACUGAGACACGGCCCAGACUCCUACGGGAGGCAGCAGUGGGGAAUAUUGCACAAUGGGGGGAACCCUGAUGCAGCGACGCCGCGUGGGUGAGGAAGUACUUCGGUAUGUAAAGCCCUAUCAGCAGGGAAGAAAAUGACGGUGCCUGACUAAGAAGCCCCGGCUAACUACGUG